CGUGUUUUCUGAUAUAUGUCCUUUUAAGGCUGCAUUUGUUUCAUGCUCUGUGUUCUGAUGUGUAUAAAAAUAAGAAGGUGUCGGAUGAUUGCCAAUGAGACAACUAUCCAACAAAUUUAAUGAAGUUAAUGUAAACAUUUAUAGAGCAACCGUACGACCUUCAACAAAGAGAAAGAACAACACAGUAUAGUCUGCUAUAAAAGUCCCCGAC
rnacentral:lncRNA from 1 species